rnacentral:rRNA from 1 species
GGGCCCGCACAAGCGGAGGAACAUGUGGUUUAAUUCGAUGAUACGCGAGGAACCUUACCCGGGCUUGAAAUGUGUCUGUCCGACCAGGAAACUGGUCUUCUAGCAAUAGCAGAUAUGUAGGUGCUGCAUGGUUGUCGUCAGCUCGUGCCGUGAGGUGUCGGCUUAAGUGCCAUAACGAGCGCAACCCUUAUCUUUAGUUACUAACAGUUUAUGCUGAGGACUCUGAAGAGACUGCCGUCGUAAGAUGUGAGGAAGGUGGGGAUGACGUCAAAUCAGCACGGCCCUUACGUCCGGGGCUACACACGUGUUACAAUGGGGGGUACAGCGAGUUGCUUACUGGUGACAGUUGGCUAAUCUUGAAACCUCUCUCAGUUCGGAUCGAAGUCUGCAACCCGACUUCGUGAAGCUGGAUUCGCUAGUAAUCGCGCAUCAGCCACGGCGCGGUGAAUACG